rnacentral:rRNA from 1 species
AGUGAACGCUGGCGGUAGGCCUAACACAUGCAAGUCGAACGGCAGCACAGUAAUAGCUUGCUCUUACGGGUGGCGAGUGGCGGACGGGUGAGGAAUACAUCGGAAUCUACUUUUUCGUGGGGGAUAACGUAGGUAAACUUACGCUCAUACCGCAUCCGACCUACGGUUGAAAGCAGGGGAUCCUCUGACCUUGCGCGAUUGAAUGCGCCGAUGUCGGAUUAGCUAGUUGGCGGGGUAAAGGCCCACCCAGGCGACGAUCCGUAGCUGGUCUGAGAGGAUGAUAGGCGACAUUGGAACGGAGACACGGUCAAGAGGACUAAGGGAGGCAGCAGUGGGGAAUAUGGGACAAUGGGCGCAAGCAUGAUCCAGCCAUACCGCGUGGGUGAAGAAGGCCUUCGGGUUGGAAAGACCGUCUGUUGGGAAAGAAAAGCAGCAGGUUAAUACCCCGCUGUUCUGACGGUACCCAAAGAAGAAGCACCGGCUAACUUCGUG